AUUCAGGAACCAUGCGAACAUAAACCGCCUAACUCCGCCAGGGCCGGAAGGAUGCAACGGUAAGUGGAUUUAUGUUGCGCCGUGGUAAUCUUGAGUAUG
rnacentral:SRP_RNA from 1 species